UCAAUUGAUGUAAUUGGGUUGGGCUCAC
rnacentral:sRNA from 1 species